rnacentral:pre_miRNA from 1 species
AAUAUACUCCCUCCGUCCGGAAAUACUUGUCACACAAAUGCAGAAAAAUGGAUGUAUCUAGAACUAAAAUAUGUCUAAAUACAUCAAUUUCUCCGACAAGUAUUUCCGGACGGAGGGAGCAUAUU